UACGUAGGUGGCAAGCGUUGUCCGGAUUUACUGGGUGUAAAGGGCGUGCAGCCGGAGAGACAAGUCAGAUGUGAAAUCCACGGGCUCAACCCGUGAACUGCAUUUGAAACUGUUUCCCUUGAGUGUCGGAGAGGUAAUCGGAAUUCCUUGUGUAGCGGUGAAAUGCGUAGAUAUAAGGAAGAACACCAGUGGCGAAGGCGGAUUACUGGACGAUAACUGACGGUGAGGCGCGAAAGCGUGGGGAGCAACCAGG
rnacentral:rRNA from 1 species